AGUUCGAGAUGUGACGCCAUGGGGAAGGAAGCCGGAACUAUUCUCCGCUAAUGGACAUUGAGAAACAGCGAACCGGAAAUGAAGAACAUCUUCCCAGGAGAAAGGAAGGACAGCUGCUGGCGCUGGCGCUGAGAGGAACAACUCAGGAGGGGAUUCCGCGAGGGCAGACUAACUGGAGUGUCUGUAUGCAGCGAGGAGAUAGGCUGGGGAUGAGUCUUUGCUUCCCUCCGUUGUCUGUCAUCCUGUGGGAAGUCAAUGGACCACUUGUGCUUACUUCUGAGCUCCAAUCCUAUGCUAUUUAUCAUGUGCCUAUUCUUACCCUCAUGUCUGUGGUUUCACAAGAUUUGAAAUAGGAAUUGGGCUUCUCCAGCUUUGUCCUCAAAACUGUCUUUAGAGUCAGCUAAUGUUUUGCACAGUAAAUCUUGUCCAGGAAUGUCUUCAGUUCUGGGAAGUCAAGGAUGCUGUCAGUGCUCAGCUGUACUGGAGUCUGAAGAGGAGAAGAUGCUGAGUGCACGCCAGUGUACCUACUCUUCUAGCUCUAACUGCUCUCUCCCAGGGCACAGCCUGCUAGUCCCAUGGUGGGAAGAGAGGAGGCAGUGCCGUUUUGUGGGCAAUACUGGGAAGAUAACAGAACCCAAAGUUGUCCUACCAGCCUAUCCUCAUUUGCAACCUUAAAAUACCUGCCUUGUUCCAGAUACAGUCACCUCUUCUUCUCAAAGAGUUUAUUACAAAAAAAAAAAAACUAAUGAGGUACAGGGCCAGUUCUGAGCUCUUCUUCAACUCCUCUGGGGUUCGGUUAAGCAGAGGGAAGUAUCAAUAGGAUUACUUGGGUUUGUAAUUAAACGUAGUUGCUCAAUGAAUAUUUGUCUUUGGUCAGCACUGACAACAGUUCUUUGCCCAGGACAUCCUCCUGAGUGCUGUUGGUUCACGGGUUGAUAAUGAACAAAGUCAACUCUCAGAAGUCAUUCAGUCUGUCUUCCCUAGGGGGGAAAAAAGCACUCACUGCUAUCACAAAGGCACAGGUAGGAAAUCUCUACUGCAUUCAGGAAGGCUUGGGGCUACCUCCUCAGCUUAGGCCCUCUUCUUACUUCAGCAUUCGGGUGCACAUUCUAUAUAGCAACCAUGAUAUUGCUGCCCAUUGAUAGGUAUUGACUGCUAGUCUCUAAGUGUGUGUGUGGAGGGGUGGGGGUGCCUUAGCUGAAAAGAUAAAAGAAAAAGCCAUUAAAAGGAAGGACUCAAAGAACUAUUGUAUGAAUAUUUUAUGCUGAUGUAGUUCACAGUUUUGCUCACUCGUUAAGUGAUAACUAAAAAAAAUGAGAAGUAAACACAAGGAAGAGGCAGACAGUAAUUACAGUAUACUAGAAAAUUUGGGACAAUAUUCUAGAUGUCCUUUUGACAAAGUCUGGCCAUUAUAGACCCUAUGCAUAGGAGGUACUUGUAAAGGGUCUUGAGGUUGAAUGGAUUUAGCUAAGGCAUAUUGCAAAUAUUAUUCUUGGGAUUUCUUAUCUGCAAGAUAUUAUAUAUCCUAUUUCAAAGAACAGUGACACGCAUCUGGGAGAAUUCAUCUAUUUGAUCACCACGAGAAGAAUUAAAUAAUAGCUGGAUUUUUAAGAAGUUCAACUCAUCCUCCCAACAGUCCUGUGGAAUAGGUAUUGUUGUUAUUCAUAUAUUGCAGACAGGGAAACGAAACCCCAGGUGGUCCAAGAUCACACAGCCAAUAGGUGCUUGUGUUGGGACCCACAGCCAACGGUGUGUGGGCCCAACUACAUGUAGCCCUGUUUCCAAGGCAGUUGCCACUUCCGUCUGAGACACUAUAAGAUAAGGUUAGAUAAAUGUGUUUAUGGGUUGACAGGUAUGGCUAAGCUAUCAUACCUCCGGGAAGACCUUGUUUAUCAUUUCUCAUCGUUUUUACAAAAGCAGGUCUUGUAGCAGCUCAUAUUAUAUCACCAAUAAAUAAAACUGGUGAUCAUCAACCCUAAAUGUUCAUUAUAGAAACCUGACAUCAUUUUUAUUCAUGUAGAAUUCACUUCUUUAACGGUGCUUUUAGGAAAUGAGCAAAUGCUUGUAGGAGAGCCAAGAGGAAAAUGGUGUCCAUUUUCUAAGUGAUGAAAAAGCAUCCCUGUACUUACGUAGUGAUAUUUGAUGUAUGUGUUCAUAAACUCUCUUGCUGUUUUCAGGGGAAGUUAAUAAAAAUACCUGUUUUGGAGAUGA